CAGUCGCCGCGGUAAUACGUAGGUGGCAAGCGUUGUCCGGAAUUAUUGGGCGUAAAGGGCUCGCAGGCGGUUUCUUAAGUCUGAUGUGAAAGCCCCCGGCUCAACCGGGGAGGGUCAUUGGAAACUGGAAACUUGAGUGCAGAAGAGGAGAGUGGAAUUCCACGUGUAGCGGUGAAAUGCGUAGAGAUGUGGAGGAACACCAGUGGCGAAGGCGACUCUCUGGUCUGUAACUGACGCUGAGGAGCGAAAGCGUGGGGAGCGAACAGGGUUAGAGACCCCUGUAGUCCCUGUCUCUUAUACA
rnacentral:rRNA from 1 species